UACGUAGGAUGCAAGCGUUGUCCGGAAUUAUUGGGCGUAAAGAGCGCGUAGGCGGUUUUUUAAGUCAGAUGUGAAAUAUCCGGGCUUAACCCGGAGGGGUCAUUUGAAACUGAGGAACUAGAGUACAGCAGAGGAUAGCGGAAUUCCCGGUGUAGUGGUGAAAUGCGUAGAUAUCGGGAGGAACACCAGUGGCGAAGGCGGCUAUCUGGGCUGAAACUGACGCUGAGGCGCGAAGGCUAGGGGAGCAAACAGG
rnacentral:rRNA from 1 species